rnacentral:rRNA from 1 species
GGCCUUGACAUACUAAGAACUUUCCAGAGAUGGAUUGGUGCCUUCGGGAACUUAGAUACAGGUGCUGCAUGGCUGUCGUCAGCUCGUGUCGUGAGAUGUUGGGUUAAGUCCGCAACGAGCGCAACCCUUUUCCUUAUUUGCCAGCGGGUCAUGCCGGGAACUUUAAGGAUACUGCCAGUGACAAACUGGAGGAAGGCGGGGACGACGUCAAGUCAUCAUGGCCCUUACGGCCAGGGCUACACACGUGCUACAAUGGUCGGUACAAAGGGUUGCUACCCCGCGAGAGGAUGCUAAUCUCAAAAAGCCGAUCGUAGUCCGGAUCGCAGUCUGCAACUCGACUGCGUGAAGUCGGAAUCGCUAGUAAUCGCGGAUCAGAAUGCCGCGGUGAAUACGUUCCCGGGCCUUGUACACACCGCCCGUCACACCAUGGGAGUUUGUUGCACCAGAAGUAGGUAGUCUAACCGCAAGGAGGACGCUUACCACGGUGUGGCCGAUGACUGGGGUGAAGUCGUAACAAGGUAAGCGUAGAUGA